ensembl:piRNA 21ur-14103 ncRNA
UUUACCAAUUCGGUUCAAAGA